UAUUCAAUAUUUGAUUUGUUUUGUUUUUUCUUUCGAAAAAACAUAUAUGAAUAUGAUCCAACGGAUUUUAACAUUAGAUGGAUUACUGUAAGAUCGUCAAAUUUAGUGAUCUGAUUGCGGGAUUACAUUGGAGUAUGACACAAUAAAUUUAAUAUAUAAAAUUAUGCUUUUAAAUUUUGUGAUUGAUGUGAUAGACGUGAUGCUUUGAAACUAGGAGGACACUUGUGUUUAUAUGUCUACGAAUCUAAUUCAUUUUGAUGUUAUAUUCUACACAGAUAUCACAUAUGUAUUUGAAGCCUCUACUUACGGUUGGCUCAAUGCUGCCUAGUGGACUACUCUAUUUAACAACCAUUACCUAUUCAAUGCAGUUAACAGAUAAAUCCCCGUCCAUAGACAAAACAAAAAAUAAGAAUUUGACAAAAAUAGAUUAGAAUUAUAAAUAAACAAAACCAAGAUAGCUAGAUGAUUUGUUGUGAAAUAAGAUUAAACAGCGCAAAUAACAAGCACAAUGAAAAGGGAAUGAUACACUCAUUAGAUUUUCAUGUGACUCCUUUCCUUUUAAUGAGAAUGCCGGAAAUAGAAGGGAUGGUGCGUGUGGUUGCAUGUUUCUUAUUAUUAUUACUAGGUGAUCAUCCGCGCUACGCCGCAGUCUUUCGGAUUAUUUUGUAUCGUUUAAUUUAAAUAAUUUUAUUUAUCUAAUCAUUCACUAAUACAAUAAGAAAUUAUUUUUAGUAUUAAAAUAUAUUUUUUCUAACAACAUUCUCAAUAUUUCAUCAUACACAUAAUUCAUAAACAACGUUCACUUUAAACCAAUUUAACAGAAGUUAGUCUUCGAUUCUAGAAAUCUAAGAAUUUGAUGAUGAAGCUUCGUACGUAUUAUGCACCUUCGGAGAUUUAUUAUAUA
rnacentral:sRNA from 1 species